UCAAAACGAUGAGAAAUAAAAAAAUCUUAUCAGCUAUUAAACUAGAAGCAGGUGAUUUUCAAGGAUAGUGGAUUAGUGGUGUGUCUAUACAAAUACAUGGAUAGUUGACAUGGAUGUAGUACAAGAUACAGACCCAUGCUAAACUAAUUUAGCUACUUCAGUACUAAAAACAGUAAAAAGAGUGUUUUAGUUCAAAAAAAAUUUAUUUGGUCGAAAUUCUAAAAACUAGAAGAUUACCACAAAUAUAACAAAGGGCCCUUCAGCUAGAUCAUCUAUUAAUUUAAUGAGGAAAUAGACCUUUUAAAGAAGUGAACAAGAUUGUUGGUUAUACUUUAAAGGCCCCAUUAACGUAAUCUUCUAACGAUCUUUCACUACUAGCAAAACGGGCAACUCACACAGAUUUUAGUCACACAGAUAUUCUACAGCUACUGAUAUCCGUGUGAAAGACAAAUACAUACAGAUAACCGUAUGAAAUCAGUUGAGUUGGACCCACAUGAGUUUCUGUCAUACCAAUAACAACAGACAUCCGUGUGAAAUAACAAUUCACACAGAUUUCAGUGUGAAAGCGUUGAUAAUUUCACACGGUUGUCCGUAGGGAAGUCAGUUCACACAGAUGUCAGUGUGAAUAAAGUAUUUCAUUAUUUAAAAAUGAAUUUUUUUUAUUCUUAUACGCAUUAUACAACUACGGUCUUCAGUAGCUAUUACAAUUUGAUACAGAUGUCUGUGUGAAAUGAGCAUCACACAUAUAUCAGUGUAUAAUGAACAUACUGAUGUCCGUGUGAAAGUAUAAUUUUCAUACGGAUAUCCGUGUGAAAGUUGGAAGAUAAUUUCAUACGGAUAUCUGUGUAAAAGUUCGACUAAUAAUAUUAGUUUACCGAAGUAAAUACACACGGACAUCAGUAAAAGCUGUAAAUGCAUUUCACACAGAUUUCAGUAGCUAUACCGCUUAAAAUCAGAAACCGUAAAUGACUAGCAAAAAUUUAAAAAUCCCCCGCUCAGUCGUUUUAGCUAAAUUCUAAUUUCCCACCAAACCUUUUACUUGGAAGACAUUAUUUUUCGAAAAGAUGCCAAACCCAGAUCUCUCAGUCUCCUUCAUCUCUCAUCCCGUUUCCUCUUCUUCUCUUCAUCCUCGCUCGAUGCCAUCCCAUCGAUGUAAAGGCUGAAGCCAAUAAUCCGGUCAUUAGAUCUGAGGAAGAACCACUAGAGCGAAGAAGAAGAGAGCCAGACCUACACAAACCCCUUCUUUCCGUCCUCUCUCAGGUACUCCGGCCUCUCUCUCUGUUUGUAUUUACCUGAUCUACUUUUUCAAUCAAAAGCUUCAACUUGGUGGUUUUGAGGGAUUUCGGGGUUUUAUCUCAUUGCCGAUUCCCUAUCUCUGUGUUUCAGUUUUUGGUUUAAUUUUGUGGUAUUUGUUUGGGUUUUAUGGGUAGAAGUAGUUUUUGCAGUAGAGAAAGCUGCGGUGGAGAUAUGACAUCAAGCGUCUCUUUUCCGAGCACGCCCUUCUCUCCUCGUCCACCAGAUCACUCACUCGAAGUUCCAGUGUGCAGAAUUUGAUUGUGGGAGGUGAUACAUUUGUAUUAAGGCCUGCAUCUUUGUCCAUGCUCACUGGAGUCCGGUAUAAAUUUUCAUACCUCAAGGUUAGUGUUUGAAAUGUAUAUUAGUAGAUAUACAUUAGCUUCUUAGGAUCCUACUGCUUGAACAUCCGUAUACAUAUAUUGUAGAGGUAUUCAAGUUAUAGUUCCACCAUUUGCAUAUUCAUGGUCAUAAGAGAAAGAAACAAAGGGUAUGGUGGCUCUCCUAGAGUUCAGAGUAGAUGUCAAAAAUGUUAUAUAUAAAUCUGUUAGGAAAAUAACUAACUAUAUAUCGCAUGUAUGCAGGAGUACUUGCAUUUUGUAGUUACUGCUGACACCUAGUUUUUUGUAGUUCUGGAAAACAUCCUAGUUUUUUGUAUGCCAAGAAUUUAUUUAAGGUAUGAAGUAGAUGUCAUUUUUGUAUGCCAAGAAAUGUAAAAAAAGAUCUUGCUGGCAUGGCCAGUUUGUAUAUAUUGGGCACUUUCUCAUGGAUAUAUAGCUGGAUUAAAACAAUGAAGAGAGAUUGGGAAUGUAUAGUUUACUUUAUUAUUAGUAAUUGUGGAUGAGUUUGAAUAUACUUUUGUUGGGAAAAAUAAAAUGCAAUUGUAUAUAUUUUUGUAUUUGUUAAUUAA